rnacentral:rRNA from 1 species
ACGAACGCUGGCGGCAUGCCUUACACAUGCAGGUCGAACGGUAGAGGGGCAACCCUUGAGAGUGGCGAACGGGUGAGUAAUAUAUCGGAACGUGCCCAGUCGUGGGGGAUAACGCAGCGAAAGCUGCGCUAAUACCGCAUACGAUCUAUGGAUGAAAGCGGGGGAUCGCAAGACCUCGCGCGAUUGGAGCGGCCGAUAUCAGAUUAGGUAGUUGGUGGGGUAAAAGCCCACCAAGCCGACGAUCUGUAGCUG